rnacentral:rRNA from 1 species
CAGUCGCCGCGGGAAUACAGAGGGUGCAAGCGUUAAUCGGAAUUACUGGGCGUAAAGCACGCGUAGGUGGUUUGUUAAGUUGGAUGUGAAAUCCCCGGGCUCAACCUGGGAACUGCAUCCAAAACUGGCAAGCUAGAGUAUGGUAGAGGGUGGUGGAAUUUCCUGUGUAGCGGUGAAAUGCGUAGAUAUAGGAAGGAACACCAGUGGCGAAGGCGACCACCUGGACUGAUACUGACACUGAGGUGCGAAAGCGUGGGGAGCAAACAGGAUUAGAUACCCCGGUAGUCCCUGUCUCUUAUAC